GCUCAUAUAGUUUAAAUAAAAUAUUAGAUUGUGAUUCUAAAGAUAAUAAUAUUUAUGGGCC
rnacentral:tRNA from 1 species